GACGAACGCUGGCGGCGUGCCUAAUACAUGCAAGUCGAGCGGACUGAUUAAGAGCUUGCUCUUAUGACGUUAGCGGCGGACGGGUGAGUAACACGUGGGCAACCUGCCUUGUAGAUCGGGAUAACACCGAGAAAUCGGUGCUAAUACCGGGUAAUAUCUGAGAUCACAUGAUCUUAGGUUAAAAGACGGCUCUGGCUAUCAUUAUAGGAUGGUCCCCCGGCGCAUUAGCGAGUUGGUAAGGAACUGGCUUACCAAGGCGACGAUACGUAGCCGACCUGAGAGAGUGUGCGGCGACACUCGGACUGAGAGACGGCCCAGACUCCUACAGGAGACAGCAGUAGGGAAUCUUCCGCAAUGGGCGAGAGUCUGACAGAGCAACGCCGCGUGUGAGAUGAAGGGUUUCGGCUCGUAAAGAUCUGUUUUAAGAGAAGAAACAGUACCGAACAAACUAGGUCGGUACCUUGACGGUACCUAACCAGAAAGCCACGGCUAACUACGUG
rnacentral:rRNA from 1 species